UGUUAUACGUGUACGUGUGUCUGCAAUCAACCGCAUGUGGAUUGCCUACUUAAUUUGCUGUCGCACAUUGUCCGCGAUCUGACGUAGCUGUAUUGCACACCAGAGUGGCUGAGUUGCACUUACUGCAGCGAUUUACACCCAAAAGGAGAUGAACAAUCACAAUUGAUAAACGAAAUCUAUUUACAAAAUAUUUAUUUUAACAUUUUGGUAGGUAACGAUAUUAGUUUGAGUGGUAAAUAAACUAUUAUUUUAUGUUGAACAGUACUUUUUGUGUAUUGAUGAGGUGUAGAUAGCAUAUAAAGCAGUCGAGAUAUAAUAAUUUAUUCAAUUCAUCGUUUAAUAUUCACAUAAGUUUUAUAAUAUUCUUAUAUUAAUUCAAAAUGACUUUUUUAAAGGAUAGUUUAAUUACGCUUACCAUUCUAGUAAUUUCAAUUCGUGUUAUGCAAGCUACUUCAACUGAUGACUUAAAAGAAUUAAAAGGGUAUUGUCGAGAUAUACUUAAAAUAAUUGGAUACGAAGAUGAUAAAGGAGAUCACCAAAAAAUAGAUAGCACAGGUAUAUUAUGUAUUUGAAACUAAAUAAUUAAUUCAAUUUUAAAUAUCAAAUAUCGAGAUUCGUGUCUGUAUACAUUUCUCUAAUUAAUGUAUACUGCAAUCUUAAGUGGCAUAACCUGUUUAUUUUAAACAUCUCUAAUGAAAGAGGAAUCAUACAUUUAAAAAUACUUUUAAGAGGAUCUCACAACCACAUAGGCGCAAAAAGCGUUUAGAUUUGAGGGGGGGGGGGGCUAAUAGGGCUAAUAGGGCCUUACUUUUAUAAUAUUGAAUAAGCUUAAAAGAAAAUGUAGGAAAUGUUUGGGAGGGCUAUGGACAUUUUUGAGGGGGCUUAAGCCCCUAGAGCCCCCCCCCCUAUUUGCGCCUAUGCACAACCACAUGUGUUGUCUCCGUCGUACACACGUACAACAUAGACAUAACGCGUUUAUGCAGUCCGCGUAUAAUUCGCUCAAUUUUGGUUCUAGAGUAAAAAUACCUAUUAUAAAACCUAUUAUUACCUACUAUUACCUAUUAUUGAAUUGUGACGAUAUUUAUGAGGGCCUAACGGUGCGCUUUUUCCUUUAUUCCUGUAGUGAGAUAAAAAUAAAAAAAAAUAGAAAAAAAAAUAAAACAUGGGGAAGUCGGGGAAGUGCGGAGUAAUGCGGCAAAUUACAAAGGGUAUGAGAAACUAGGAUGGUACGCAUAUCGGCACUUAUAUUACAUUACCUUUAUCCUACUACAGAAUAUUAUUAGUCGAGUACGGAGUUGAGUGUAAAAUAUAUGUGUGUUCACUUACCUCGUAUAGCUGUGAAAAGUACUCGUUGAUCCUUGUUGGAAUGGAUAUAUCUCUAAUUGGUGUGGAUCGAUGCACGUUACUAUUAUUUUACGACUUGUAUUACAAUAUCUUAUACCAGUUAUAAGUUCAUAUUUUGCCUAUACACUGUCGACUCUUUGUACUAAUAAUUAACUACCACCUGUGUGUCUACUAUGUUUCCCUUUUUUUAUUUAGUUUAUCCUAAUUUAUUUUAUUUAACAUUUGGAACUGAGUAUUGGGAGUAUUGCAGUUGGGAGUUUUUGUAUAGAAUAUACCUUAGUAAUUUAAUGACAUGUAAGGAUUGUUCAGGUAGUGUAGUAAAUAAUAAUGACAUGUUUUGUGGUUAAUGGAUAAUACAAUGAAUAAACUAAAAAUGAACCCAUACCUGGUGUUAGAACAAACGCAAUAGUUAACUUCACGGAGAAAGAUUAAUUUCAAAUUA